rnacentral:rRNA from 1 species
CAGUAGCCGCGGGAAAACAGAGGGUGCGAGCGUUAAUCGGAUUUACUGGGCGUAAAGCGUGCGUAGGCGGCUUUUUAAGUCGGAUGUGAAAUCCCUGAGCUUAACUUAGGAAUUGCAUUCGAUACUGGGAAGCUAGAGUAUGGGAGAGGAUGGUAGAAUUCCAGGUGUAGCGGUGAAAUGCGUAGAGAUCUGGAGGAAUACCGAUGGCGAAGGCAGCCAUCUGGCCUAAUACUGACGCUGAGGUACGAAAGCAUGGGGAGCAAACAGGAUUAGAUACCCGGGUAGUCCCUGUCUCUUAUAC